AGAUUGAACGCUGGCGGCAUGCCUUACACAUGCAAGUCGAACGGUAACGCGGGGCAACCUGGCGACGAGUGGCGAACGGGUGAGUAAUGCAUCGGAACGUGCCCAGUAGUGGGGGAUAGCUCGGCGAAAGCCGGAUUAAUACCGCAUACGACCUAAGGGUGAAAGCGGGGGACCGUAAGGCCUCGCGCUAUUGGAGCGGCCGAUGUCAGAUUAGGUUGUUGGUGGGUAAAAGCCUACCAAGCCGACGAUCUGUAGCUGGUCUGAGAGGACGACCAGCCACACUGGGACUGAGACGACGGCCCAGACUCCUACGGGAGGCAGCAGUGGGGAAUUUGGACAAGUGGGGGCAACCCGUGAUCCAGCCAUGCCGCGUGCGGAGAAGGCCUUCGGUUGUAACCGCUUUGUACGAGGGUAAGAACGUCUCGUGGUUAAUACCGU
rnacentral:rRNA from 1 species